rnacentral:rRNA from 1 species
GACGAACGCUGGCGGCGUGCUUAACACAUGCAAGUCGAACGGAAAGGCCCUGCUUUUGUGGGGUGCUCGAGUGGCGAACGGGUGAGUAACACGUGAGUAACCUGCCCUUGACUUUGGGAUAACUUCAGGAAACUGGGGCUAAUAUCGGAUAGGAGCUCCUGCUGCAUGGUGGGGGUUGGAAAGUUUCGGCGGUUGGGGAUGGACUCGCGGCUUAUCAGCUUGUUGGUGGGGUAGUGGCUUACCAAGGCUUUGACGGGUAGCCGGCCUGAGAGGGUGACCGGCCACAUUGGGACUGAGAUACGGCCCAGACUCCUACGGGAGGCAGCAGUGGGAAAUAUUGCACAAUGGGCGGAAGCCUGAUGCAGCAACGCCGCGUGCGGGAUGACGGCCUUCGGGUGGUAAACCGCUUUCGCCUGUGACGAAGCGUGAGUGACGGUAAUGGGUAAAGAAGCACCGGCUAACUACGU